GAUGAACGCUAGCGGCAGGCCUAAUACAUGCAAGUCGAAGGGGCAGCAAUGUCACUGGCGCACGGGUGCGUAACACGUUUGAAAUCUGCCUUAAACAGGGGGAUAGCCCGCCGAAAGGCGGAUUAAUACCGCAUAUGCUAAUGGCCUGGCAUCAGGUAGUUAGGAAAGGCUUCGGCCGGUUUGAGAUGAUCAUGCGUCUGAUUAGCUAGUUGGCGGGGUAGAAGCCCACCAAGGCGACGAUCAGUAGGGGACCUGAGAGGGCGAUCCCCCACACGGACACUGAGAUACGGGUCCGACUCCUACGGGAGGCAGCAGUAGGGAAUAUUGGGCAAUGGGCGCAAGCCUGACCCAGCCAUGCCGCGUGCAGGAAGAAGGCCCUCUGGGUUGUAAACUGCUUUUGACGGGGAAGAAACGACUCUUGCGAGAGGCAUUGACGGUACCCGCAGAAUAAGCACCGGCUAACUCCGUGCC
rnacentral:rRNA from 1 species